CGCAUCUGUGCAUGCAGCAUAUCAAUAAGCGGAGGAAAAGAAACUAACAAGGAUUCCCCUAGUAACGGCGAGUGAAGCGGGAAGAGCUCAAAUUUGAAAUCUUAAGGGUUUCCCUUUACGAAUUGUAGUUUAAAGAAGUGUUUUCUGUUGAGGUUUUGGUAAAAGUUCUUUGGAAUAGGACAUCAUAGAGGGUGAGAAUCCCGUAUUUGACCUUUACUUUCAACUUUGUGAUACACUUUCAAAGAGUCGGAUUGUUUGGGAAUGCAGUCCAAAAUGGGUGGUAAAUUUCAUCUAAAGCUAAAUAUUGGCGAGAGACCGAUAGCGAACAAGUACCGUGAGGGAAAGAUGAAAAGAACUUUGAAAAGAGAGUUAAACAGUACGUGAAAUUGUCAAAAGGGAAGCGUUUGACACCAGUGUUGUUUUUCUGAAAAUCAAUUAAAGAACUGUUUAUGCUAAGCUGUUUAGACUUUAUCAGCUAACUGUUUAGUUUUGAGCUUUUCUUUAAUGCACUUUUCAGUUAACAAGUCAACAUCAAUUUCUUUUGCUGUAAAAAAGCUUGAGGAAGGUGGCUUGAGAUUCGUCUUAAGUGUUUAUAGCCUCUUGCCUAUGCAGUCGGAGAGAUUGAGGUCUGCAGCGUAGAUCCUUCGGGGCUAAAUGCAUUUGUGCUAAGUUAUAGCAUUUUAGUAGACAACUUGUUGACUAUGAUUUGUCUUGCAGCUUACUCGCUUAUGUUAUUUUACCUACGCUUAGGAUGUUGAAUCUGUGCGAGACUAC
rnacentral:rRNA from 1 species